rnacentral:ncRNA from 1 species
AUGCUAUAUGAAAGGACAGAAAGUCUUCUAUCUUUCACAAGGAUAGACUGGCCUUUGGAUCUAAACAUCUAUGUGGUUAAAGUAGUAUUUCUUACUCUUUGAAAACAUAACCAACCGUUUUU